AACGAACGCUGGCGGCAGGCUUAACACAUGCAAGUCGAGCGCAUCCUUCGGGGUGAGCGGCAGACGGGUGAGUAACGCGUGGGAAUCUACCUUUUGCUACGGAAUGGCUCCGGGAAACUGGAAUUAAUACCGUAUGUGCCCUUAGGGGGAAAGAUUUAUCGGCAAGAGAUGAGCCCGCGUUGGAUUAGCUAGUUGGUGGGGUAAAGGCCUACCAAGGCGACGAUCCAUAGCUGGUCUGAGAGGAUGAUCAGCCACAUUGGGACUGAGACACGGCCCAAACUCCUACGGGAGGCAGCAGUGGGGAAUAUUGGACAAUGGGCGCAAGCCUGAUCCAGCCAUGCCGCGUGAGUGAUGAAGGCCUUAGGGUUGUAAAGCUCUUUCACCGGAGAAGAUAAUGACGGUAUCCGGAGAAGAAGCCCCGGCUAACUUCGUG
rnacentral:rRNA from 1 species